AGAGUUUGAUUCUGGCUCAGAACGAACGCUGGCAGCGUGGAUUAGGCAUGCAAGUCGAACGUGAAGCUGUUGAUCAAUUCUUCGGAAGAGUGAUUCAGUGGAAAGUGGCGAAAGGGUGAGUAACGCGUGGGUAACCUACCCUGAAGUUGGGGACAACUCUUCGAAAGGGGAGCUAAUACCGAAUGUGGUCCCCCCCCGCAUGUGGGGGAGACUAAAGGUGGAAUCCUUCGGGAUCUGCCGCUUCUGGAGGGGCCCGCGUGACAUCAGCUUGUUGGUGAGGUAAUGGCUCACCAAGGCUUACGUCUAGCUGGUCUGAGAGGAUGGUCAGCCACACUGGGACUGAGACACUGCCCAGACUCCUACGGGAGGCUGCAGUCGAGAAUCAUUCACAAUGCGCGAAAGCGUGAUGAUGCGACGCUGCGUGGAGGAUGAAGGCCCUAGGGUUGUAAACUCCUGUCAUGAGGGAAAAACCGCACGGAUGUAAAUAGCGUCUGUGUUUGAUGGUACCUCAAGAGGAAGCCACGGCUAACUCUGUGCCAGCAGCCGCGGUGAUACAGAGGUGGCGAGCGUUGUUCGGAUUUACUGGGCGUAAAGCGUACGUAGGUGGUUUCGUGUGUCGGGUGUGAAAGCCCACGGCCCAACCGUGGAAUUGCACUCGAAACUGCGGGACUUGAGUGCAGGAGGGGAGAGCGGAAUUCAGGGUGUAGCGGUGAAAUGCGUUGAUAUCCUGAAGAACACCGGUGGCGAAGGCGGCUCUCUGGAAUGUUACUGACACUGAGGUACGAAAGCGUGGGGAGCGAACAGGAUUAGAUACCCUGGUAGUCCACGCCGUAAACGUUGUGCACUUGGUGUGAGCGGUAUUGACCCCGUCCGUGCCGGAGCUAACGCGUUAAGUGCACCGCCUGGGGAGUACGGCCGCAAGGCUAAAACUCAAAGAAAUUGACGGGGGCCCGCACAAGCGGAGGAGCAUGUGGCUCAAUUCGAUGCAACGCGAAGAACCUUACCUGGACUUGACAUGUAACUGCAUGCCCCGGGAAACCGGGGAGGCCUUCGAGGGUGUUACACAGGUGCUGCAUGGCUGUCGUCAGUUCGUGCCGUGAGGUGUUGGGUUAAGUCCCGCAACGAACGCAACCCUUGUGUUUAGUUGCCACCGGUGGUGAUGAGCCACCGAGCACUCUAAACAGACUGCCUGUACAAGCAGGAGGAAGGUGGGGAUGACGUCAAGUCAGUAUGCCCCUUAUGUCCAGGGCUGCACACGUGCUACAAUGGCCGGUACAAUGGGAAGCAAUACCGCGAGGUGGAGCAAAUCCUCAACACCGGUCCCAGUUCGGAUUGGAGUCUGCGACUCGACUCCAUGAAGUUGGAUUCGCUAGUAAUGCCGUAUCAGCUACGACGGCGUGAAUACGUUCCCGGGCCUUGUACACACCGCCCGUCACAUCAUGAAAGCCAUCUGCACCCGAAGUCGCCGAGCUAACCCGCAAGGGAGGCAGGUGCCGAAGGUGUGGGUGGUGCUUGGGAUUG
rnacentral:rRNA from 1 species